rnacentral:rRNA from 1 species
CAUAGGUUUGGUCCCAGCCUUCCUGUUAACUCUUAAUAAACUUACACAUGCAAGCAUCUACACCCCAGUGAGAAUGCCCUCUAGGUUAUUAAAACUAAGAGGAGCUGGCAUCAAGCACACACCCUGUAGCUCACGACGCCUUGCUUAACCACACCCCCACGGGAAACAGCAGUGACAAAAAUUAAGCCAUAAACGAAAGUUUGACUAAGUUAUAUUAAUUAGGGUUGGUAAAUCUCGUGCCAGCCACCGCGGUCAUA